GGAUUGCCCUAGUAACGGCGAGUGAAGCGGCAACAGCUCAAAUUUGAAAUCUGGCUCUUUCAGGGUCCGAGUUGUAAUUUGUAGAGGGUGCUUUGGAGUUGACUGUGGUCUAAGUUCCUUGGAACAGGACGUCGCAGAGGGUGAGAAUCCCGUAUGUGGCCGCCAGUCUUCGCCGUGUAAAGCCCCUUCGACGAGUCGAGUUGUUUGGGAAUGCAGCUCUAAAUGGGAGGUAAAUUUCUUCUAAAGCUAAAUAUUGGCCAGAGACCGAUAGCGCACAAGUAGAGUGAUCGAAAGAUGAAAAGCACUUUGGAAAGAGAGUCAAAAAGCACGUGAAAUUGUUGAAAGGGAAGCGCUUGCAGCCAGACUUGCCUGUAGUUGCUCAUCCGGGCUUUUGCCCGGUGCACUCUUCUAUAGGCAGGCCAGCAUCAGUCCUGGCGGUCGGAUAAAUGCCCGCUGAA
rnacentral:rRNA from 1 species